rnacentral:rRNA from 1 species
GGUAUUUUGACCGUGCAAAGGUAGCAUAGUCAUUAGUUCUUUAAUUGUGAUCUGGUAUGAAUGGCUUGACGAGACAUGGGCUGUCUUAGGUGUGGGAUUUAUUGUUGAAUUUGGAGUUUAAGUUAAAAUUCUUAGAUGUUUUUAUGGGACGAGAAGACCCUAUAGAGUUUGACAUUUGACUGUGCAUUCCUUGUUGUUUGUUUUGAAUUUUUGCGUGUCUCUUGUUUUGUUGGGGUGAUGGGAGGAAUUUAUUUAACUCCUCUUCGUGUGUGGUAUAUUGAUUUAUGUUUAUUUUGAUCCAUUUAUUUUGAUUGUAAGAUUAAA